UACAGAGGGUGCGAGCGUUAAUCGGAAUUACUGGGCGUAAAGCGCACGUAGUCGGCUUUGCAAGUCGGGUGUGAAAUCCCCGGGCUCAACCUGGGAACUGCAUCCGAGACUGCAUUGCUAGAGUAUGGGAGAGGGAAGCGGAAUUUCUGGUGUAGCAGUGAAAUGCGUAGAUAUCAGAAGGAACAUCAGUGGCGAAGGCGGCUUCCCUGGACCAAUACUGACGAUCAGGUGCGAAAAGCGUGGGGGAGCAAACAGG
rnacentral:rRNA from 1 species